GAGACAUUUUUAUCACUAGGGGGCGGCACUUCACCCCUCCCUGUGAGCGGGGAAGUUGAGGCCAAGAGAAAUCUGUGCAAAUCCUGUUAAACUAACUCUUCUCUUUGUGGUCACUAACCGCCCUGGCCCAAAUACCUUCGUCUUAUCACUUUUCCACAAUUUACCACUCUGCCCCACUUAAUUAUGUGUUGACUCAAACUGCUUCUUUAGGUUUUCAUUUCCUUAUGAAGGCUCCCAUGUCUUACAUAGAUGUGUAUGCUUUCCCCCUUUUAAUGCCUUUUGUUACAGGGACCCCAGUCAAGAACCUAUUAAGGGUAGAAUGAAAGGGUUUUUUUCUCCUCUACAUCACAAAGUUGCAUAGUAUUAUCUCCAGUCAGGGCUCCUUUUUCAUUCUUAAUAGUGUUUGAAGAGGAGGUUCCUAUGCGAAGUAACCGUUUAAAAGCUUGAACCUAAAUAAUAUACCAAAUAGUUAUAAACUUACAAAUAUCAUGUGUUUUGAAACUAAAAAAACGUAUUCGAUUCAUAGGUCAAAGAAAAAAAUCACAAAAUAUUUUGAAAAGUGUAAGUGCUAUUCAUUAUUAUAACCGGUGGGUUAUAAAUUUAGCCUAAGUGCAUUUAUUUGCACACGCACGAAAAAAAAACGUUCAACGAAGAACUUGGAAAAGAAACAUCGUAGGAAACUAAAACAAACAAAAACCAAAGAUGGGGGGAAAAAAACAAAAGCACGACGUCGCGGCGCUUUACGGUCGUCACGCUCACGUGUCUGAGGUCGUGGCGGCCAUGAAGCAGGAGAGGCCGAGAGCCAGAGCCUUGGUGCUGGAACUGGAUCCCGAGCCCAAGAACGAGAAGGAGGAGGGAGAGCGGCUGCAGCAAGCGGGUGGUGCCUGUUGUGACAUACCGGAGCCACAACCCGCCGCUCCUCCUGCCUCUGCGCCUGCGCAGCGGACUUGGCGCCACUGGCGAGGCCCGGCGGCUUUUCUGUUAGCCCGUGGGUGGUGCGCGCGGCGCCGAGGAGGACGUUCGCGGAGAAGCGGCCGGAGGAGAAUAAGGACCACGCCCAGGGGAGGGGCCACGGGCACCCGAAAGCGCUAGCCUCUUAUGGCGGCCGCCGAGGGAACUGCAGGCACCUGCUCGGCGUCGCCUGGGACCUCCCCAGGCCGCUGGCGACUCCAGCCUCCGCCCCCAGCGUCCUGAGGCCGCGCUUGGGCGGCGCGGACUGAGGCUCGGAGCACCCAGCUCCGGCUUGGGCUACCGGCCGCUGCCCUUCGUAGAGCUGCGGGAAAUUUUUAGUUUUUUGAUUGAUCUGUCCGUUUCCGAGAUGCACCCAAGUAUCCUUCUGGACCACAACCGGGAUUGGAGGGAAGCGGUAGCCUCGGACAAAAUUUAAAUGGACGCCCAAAAAACUCCGUAAUUGAGAUAAAUAAUAUUUUCAGGCAAUAUUUUUGAAAACAAAAGUUUAUACCAAAAAAAUGAUGAAUAAAACACAGUUGACCCUUGGAAAACAUAGGCUUGAACCGUGUGGGUCCACCUAUACAGAGAUUUCUUUUUGAUACAGUGCUUUAAAUAUACUUUCCUUAGGGUAUUCUUAACAUUUUCUUUAGCUUACUUUAAGAGUACAGUAUAUAAUACAUGUCACAUACAAAAUAUGUAUCAGCUGUUUAUGGUACUGGUAAGGCUUCUGGUCAAGGGUAGGCUAUUAGUCAAGUUUGGGGAGAGUCAAAAGUUAUGUGGGGAUUUUCCUCUAGGGGAGGGUGAAGUAGGGCUCCUUACUCCUAGGGUGUUCAAUGGUCAGCCUUCCUACAAUUAAAAAAAAACAAACAAAAUUUGACCCUGCACUUGCAUGACAGGUCUAAAUGUACCUUCUUGGUGAACUGAUACUUUUUAUCCUUCUGUAAAGUCCCUUUAGUCCUACUGCAAGUUUUUGCCUAAAUUCUACUUUUCUACUAUUAAUAUUGUGACACUAACCUUCUGGCUAAAUUUACUUAUUCGCCUUAUUUUUUUGUUUUCUUUUUAUCAUCCUCCCCCCCCCCUUCCUUCCUUGGAUUGAUAAGUUUUCUUUAUUUAUUUUGUUUUUUUACUGAAAAUUUAGCUUGGGUUAGGUCAAGGAAAAACUCCCUUGGGAAAAUACCGACACUAUCUCAAACGUUUUUGAGUUUGAAUGGUUUGAAUAAACUCAUCAUUUUACUAAUGAAAGUGAUAGGUCAAUAAAAUUCCAUAAGCA